AUCCAGCCAACGAGUCCCAAAUAGGACGAAAUGCGCGCGUUAUUCUGGAU
rnacentral:hammerhead_ribozyme from 1 species